rnacentral:lncRNA from 1 species
CAAUUUAAAGAUUCCCUCCUAUUUUAAAAAAAAUCAAUAAGGCUACAUAUCUAGUAGGUUUCAAGUUGAUUACACCAAACAUUGCUUUAUAUAUAUACAUAUGAUAUGAUAUAUAUAGAUAUAUAGAUAAUUGGAGAAACAUUUUUGUGGUUUUCUAUAAGCUUUGAAUUUGGCUUCAUUAUAACAAUAAUUGCUAUGGUUCUUCAGGACUGAAACUCUGAGCUGGUUCAGCUAUCUCAUUUCCGUCUUUCCUGCAUACCUACCAUGAGAAUCCUAGAGACUGGUCAGUAUGACUCAACACUGAUGAACUACACACUUACAAUUCAGAGACUACAACUCAUAAAUGUUGCAUUUGUUUUCACAUCUGGAAAAGAACUAAAUCAAUAGUUAUAUUUGGAAGAACAAAAGUUGGACAGUGUAUUCCACUGGGUGAAGAAAAAGAAGCUACCGCAAGGUAAAAGUAGAUGUUAACAGACUAAUGAUCAUUUUUUAAUAACACAGGACCUUUCUGUGAAAAAAAUACCAGUAUAUUUUUUUUCAUUACUGUCUUCUCUUUCAGCUAACCUUUG